rnacentral:rRNA from 1 species
AGUGAACGCUGGCGGUAGGCCUAGCACAUGCAAGUCGAACGGCAGCACAGUAAGAGCUUGCUCUUACGGGUGGCGAGUGGCGGACGGGUGAGGAAUACAUCGGAAUCUACUUUUUCGUGGGGGAUAACGUAGGGAAACUUACGCUAAUACCGCAUACGACCUACGGGUGAAAGCAGGGGAUCUUCGGACCUUGCGCGAUUGAAUGAGCCGAUGUCGGAUUAGCUAGUUGGCGGGGUAAAGGCCCACCAAGGCGACGAUCCGUAGCUGGUCUGAGAGGAUGAUCAGCCACACUGGAACUGAGACACGGUCCAGACUCCUACGGGAGGCAGCAGUGGGGAAUAUUGGACAAUGGGCGCAAGCCUGAUCCAGCCAUACCGCGUGGGUGAAGAAGGCCUUCGGGUUGUAAAGCCCUUUUGUUGGGAAAGAAAAGCAGCAGGUUAAAACCCCGCUGUUCUGACGGUACCCAAAGAAUAAGCACCGGCUAACUUCGUG